rnacentral:rRNA from 1 species
AUUGAACGCUGGCGGCAUGCCUUACACAUGCAAGUCGAACGGUAACAGGUCUUCGGAUGCUGACGAGUGGCGAACGGGUGAGUAAUACAUCGGAACGUGCCCGAGAGUGGGGGAUAGCGAGGCGAAAGCUUUGCUAAUACCGCAUACGAUCUCAGGAUGAAAGCAGGGGACCGCAAGGCCUUGCGCUCACGGAGCGGCCGGUGGCUGAUUAGGUAGUUGGUGGGAUAAAAGCUUACCAAGCCGAGGAUCUGUAGCUGGUCUGAGAGGAAGACCGGCCACACUGGGACUGAGACACGGCCCAGACUCCUACGGGAGGCAGCAGUGGGGAAUUUUGGACAAUGGGCGCAAGCCUGAUCCAGCCAUGCCGCGUGCAGGAUGAGGGCCUUCGGGUUGUAAACUGCUUUUGUACGGAACGAAAAGACUCUGGUUAAUACCUGGGGUCCAUGACGGUACCGUAAGAAUAAGCACCGGCUAACUACGUGCCAGCAGCCGCAGUAACAC